GACGUAGGGGGCGAGCGUUGUCCGGAUUUAUUGGGCGUAAAGAGCGCGCAGGCGGUCGUUCAAGUCGCGUGUGAAAGCCCCCGGCUCAACUGGGGAGGGUCACGCGAUACUGAUCGACUCGAAGGCAGGAGAGGGAAGUGGAAUUCCCGGUGUAGUGGUGAAAUGCGUAGAUAUCGGGAGGAACACCAGUGGCGAAGGCGACUUCCUGGCCUGUUCUUGACGCUGAGGCGCGAAAGCUAGGGGAGCAAACGGG
rnacentral:rRNA from 1 species